GACGAACGCUGGCGGCGUGCCUAAUACAUGCAAGUAGGACGCAGUUGCGAACGGGUGAGUAACGCGUAUGUAACUACCUCUUAGAGGGGGAUAACUAUUGGAAACGAUAGCUAAUACCGCAUACUAGUAGAUGGACCUGCUGUGUAUUAGCUAGUAGGUAGGGUAAUGGCCUACCUAGGCAACGAUACAUAGCCGACCUGGGAGGGGUGACGGCCACACUGGGACUGGAAAACCGCCCAAAAUUCUAAGGGAGGCAGCAAUAGGGAAUCGUCGGCAAUGGGGGGAACCCUGGACGAGCAACGCCGGGUGAGGGGAGAAGGUUUUCGGAUUGGAAAGCUCUGUUGUUAAGGAAGCGGUACUUAACCAGAAAGGGACGGCUAACUACGUGCCAGCAGCCGCGGUAAUAC
rnacentral:rRNA from 1 species